rnacentral:rRNA from 1 species
AUUGAACGCUGGCGGCGUGCCUAAUACAUGCAAGUCGAACGCAGUGGGGACGGGAGAGUAACACGUGGGUAACCUCCCAUCAGAGGGGAUAACACUUGGAAACAGGUGCUAAACCGAUAUUGAUGGCUGGACCCGCGGUGCAUUAGCUAGUUGGUGAGGUAACGGCUCACCAAGGCCACGAUGCAUAGCCGACCUGAGAGGGAGGUCUGCGAAACUGGGACUGAGCAACGGGCCUGACUCCUACGGGAGGCAGCAGUAGGGAAUCUUCGGCAAUGGACGAAAGUCUGACCGAGGAACGCCGCGUGAGUGAAGAAGUUUUUCGGAUCGUAAAGCUAUGUUGUUAGAGAAGCGGUAACUAACCAGAAAGGGACGGCUAACUACGUGCCAGCAGCCGCGGUAAUAC